rnacentral:rRNA from 1 species
CGCGUAGGCGGUUCGGUAAGUUGCUGGUGAAAUCCCGGGGCCCAACUCCGGGGCUGCCGGCACGACUGCCGGACUUGAGCACGGUAGGGGCAGAUGGAAUUCCCGGUGCAGCGGUGGAAUGCGUAGAGAUCGGGAAGAAUACCAGUGGCGAAGGCGUUCUGCCGGGCCGUUGCUGACGCUGAUGCGCGACAGCGUGGGGAGCAAACA